rnacentral:rRNA from 1 species
GACGAACGCUGGCGGCGCGCUUAACACAUGCAAGUCGAGCGAGAACCAGCCCUUCGGGGCGUGGGGACGAGCGGCGAACGGGUGAGUAACACGUGGGUAAUCUGCCCUCGGCACCGGGAUAGCCCGGGGAAACCCGGAUUAAUACCGGAUGGCCUUUCGAGCCCUCGGGCGUUGAAAGGAAAGGUAGCUUUGGUCCUCUGGCCGAGGAUGAGCCCGCGGCCGAUUAGCUUGUUGGUGAGGUAAUGGCNCACCAAGGCGACGAUCGGUAGCUGGUCUGAGAGGACGAUCAGCCACACUGGGACGUGAGACACGGCCC